UCGAACGCUGGCGGCGUGCUUAACACAUGCAAGUCGAACGGAAAGGCCCUGCUUUUGUGGGGUGCUCGAGUGGCGAACGGGUGAGUAACACGUGAGUAACCUGCCCUUGACUUUGGGAUAACUUCAGGAAACUGGGGCUAAUACCGGAUAGGAGCUCCUGCUGCAUGGUGGGGGUUGGAAAGUUUCGGCGGUUGGGGAUGGACUCGCGGCUUAUCAGCUUGUUGGUGGGGUAGUGGCUUACCAAGGCUUUGACGGGUAGCCGGCCUGAGAGGGUGACCGGCCACAUUGGGACUGAGAUACGGCCCAGACUCCUACGGGAGGCAGCAGUGGGGAAUAUUGCACAAUGGGCGGAAGCCUGAUGCAGCAACGCCGCGUGCGGGAUGACGGCCUUCGGGUUGUAAACCGCUUUCGCCUGUGACGAAGCGUGAGUGACGGUAAUGGGUAAAGAAGCACCGGCUAACUACGUGCCAGCAGCCGCGGUGAUACGUAGGGUGCGAGCGUUGUCCGGAUUUAUUGGGCGUAAAGGGCUCGUAGGUGGUUGAUCGCGUCGGAAGUGUAAUCUUGGGGCUUAACCCUGAGCGUGCUUUCGAUACGGGUUGACUUGAGGAAGGUAGGGGAGAAUGGAAUUCCUGGUGGAGCGGUGGAAUGCGCAGAUAUCAGGAGGAACACCAGUGGCGAAGGCGGUUCUCUGGGCCUUUCCUGACGCUGAGGAGCGAAAGCGUGGGGAGCGAACAGGCUUAGAUACCCUGGUAGUCCACGCUGUAAACGGUGGGUACUAGGUGUGGGGUCCAUUCCACGGGUUCCGUGCCGUAGCUAACGCUUUAAGUACCCCGCCUGGGGAGUACGGCCGCAAGGCUAAAACUCAAAGGAAUUGACGGGGCCCCGCACAAGCGGCGGAGCAUGCGGAUUAAUUCGAUGCAACGCGUAGAACCUUACCUGGGUUUGACAUGGAUCGGGAGUGCUCAGAGAUGGGUGUGCCUCUUUUGGGGUCGGUUCACAGGUGGUGCAUGGCUGUCGUCAGCUCGUGUCGUGAGAUGUUGGGUUAAGUCCCGCAACGAGCGCAACCCUUGUUCACUGUUGCCAGCACGUUAUGGUGGGGACUCAGUGGAGACCGCCGGGGUCAACUCGGAGGAAGGUGGGGAUGACGUCAAGUCAUCAUGCCCCUUAUGUCCAGGGCUUCACGCAUGCUACAAUGGCUGGUACAGAGAGUGGCGAGCCUGUGAGGGUGAGCGAAUCUCGGAAAGCCGGUCUCAGUUCGGAUUGGGGUCUGCAACUCGACCUCAUGAAGUCGGAGUCGCUAGUAAUCGCAGAUCAGCAACGCUGCGGUGAAUACGUUCCCGGGGCUUGUACACACCGCCCGUCAAGUCAUGAAAGUUGGUAACACCCGAAGCCGGUGGCCUAACCGUUGUGGGGGAGCCGUCGAAGGUGGG
rnacentral:rRNA from 1 species